UAACGACUCUCGGCAACGGAUAUCUCGGCUCUCGCAUCGAUGAAGAACGUAGCGAAAUGCGAUACUUGGUGUGAAUUGCAGAAUCCCGUGAACCAUCGAGUCUUUGAACGCAAGUUGCGCCCCAAGCUGUUAGGCUGAGGGCACGUCUGCCUGGGUGUCACGC
rnacentral:rRNA from 1 species